rnacentral:lncRNA from 1 species
CAGACAUCAUUUCCACCACAUUCUACUGGUCAAGCAGGUCACAAAGGCCAGUUCUUAUUCAAGGGAAUGAGAAUUAGAGUCCAUCUCUCAGGGGAAAAAGUCACAACAAAUGUGUGGCCAACUCUAAUCUACCAUAAGGAGCAAUGAACAAAGCAGAGUGAUUUAAGUAAAUUGUCAAUGUCCAAGAGCAGGAGCAACUGUCAGAGAAAGAGGAACAGGAUGAGUGUAGAGGGCUUUGAAGGUGAGGUUAAGAGAUUUGAAUGUUUCGAGAAUAACAUCUUUUCCCCUGGCAUAUCCUCUCUUGUGGAACUGCACUCAGCUAGAUGAAAGAGAGCACCAGGAUUUUCUAAGGUUCCCAGGCACUGGACUAGCAGACAUAAAUCAGGAUAAAUUUUAAAUUGAUGAGAGCUCUGUCAACACCAGCAAAAGGUAUUGACCUUCUUGUGGUAAAGGAAUACCUAGGACCACGGGGGCUGCAGACACAAACCAUGCCUGAAGCCAGCUCGAGCCAUCUCCCACUGUUCUCACUGGGAAUGCUCCUAAUUACUUUCAUGUGGGAUAUAAUAUUUACUGAAGGAUAAAUAAUAAA